GGCUCAACCGGAAAAUUGCCAUUGAAACUGAUAGACUUGAGUGUAAACGAGGUAGGCGGAAUUCGUGGUGUAGCGGUGAAAUGCUUAGAUAUCACGAAGAACUCCAAUUGCGAAGGCAGCUUACUAGGCUACAACUGACGCUGAAGCACGAAAGCGUGGGGAUCAAACAGGAUUAGAUACCCUGGUAGUCCACGCAGUAAACGAUGAUAACUAGCUGUUUGCGAUACACAGUAAGCGGCACAGCGAAAGCGUUAAGUUAUCCACCUGGGGAGUACGCCGGCAACGGUGAAACUCAAAGGAAUUGACGGGGGCCCGCACAAGCGGAGGAACAUGUGGUUUAAUUCGAUGAUACGCGAGGAACCUUACCCGGGCUUGAACGUAGGGAGACAGUUCUGGAAACAGAAUCUCUAGCAAUAGCUGCCUACGAGGUGCUGCAUGGUUGUCGUCAGCUCGUGCCGUGAGGUGUCGGCUUAAGUGCCAUAACGAGCGCAACCCACAUCGAUAGUUACUAACAGGUUAAGCUGAGGACUCUAUCGAGACUGCCAGCGUAGGCUGUGAGGAAGGUGUGGAUGACGUCAAAUCAGCACGGCCCUUACGUCCGGGGCGACACACGUGUUACAAUGGGAGGUACAAAGGGCAGCUACCCGGCAACGGGAUGCCGAUCUCAAAAACCUUUCUCAGUUCGGAUUGGAGUCUGCAACUCGACUCCAUGAAGCUGGAUUCGCUAGUAAUCGCGCAUCAGCCAUGGCGCGGUGAAUACGUUCCCGGGCCUUGUACACACCGCCCGUCAAGCCAUGGAAGCUGGGGGUACCUGAAGUAUGCAACCGCAAGGAGCGUCCUAGGGUAAAACCGGUAACUGGGGCUAAGUCGUAACAAGGUACC
rnacentral:rRNA from 1 species